rnacentral:rRNA from 1 species
AUUGAACGCUGGCGGCAUGCUUUACACAUGCAAGUCGAACGGCAGCGCGGGCUUCGGCCUGGCGGCGAGUGGCGAACGGGUGAGUAAUACAUCGGAACGUGCCCAGUAGUGGGGGAUAGCUCGGCGAAAGCCGGAUUAAUACCGCAUACGACCUGAGGGUGAAAGCGGGGGAUCUUCGGACCUCGCGCUAUUGGAGCGGCCGAUGGCAGAUUAGCUAGUUGGUGGGGUAAAGGCCUACCAAGGCGACGAUCUGUAGCUGGUCUGAGAGGACGACCAGCCAAACGGGGGCGGAGAAACGGCCCAGACCCCCACGGGGGGGAGAGGGGGGGAAUUUUGGAAAAGGGGGGAAAGCCUGAACCGAAAAUGCCCGGGGUGGGAUAAGGGCCUUGGGGUUGAAAAACACUUUUGGGGGAAAAAAAAAGGACUGGCACAAUACCACGGUUCGAUGAGGGACCCCGAAAAAAAAGCACCGGCAAACAAGGG